rnacentral:rRNA from 1 species
UACAGAGGUCCCAAGCGUUGUUCGGAUUCAUUGGGCGUAAAGGGUGCGUAGGUGGCGCCAUAAGUCAGGUGUGAAAUUUCGGAGCUUAACUCCGAAACUGCAUUUGAUACUGUGGUGCUUGAGGACUGGAGAGGAGACUGGAAUUUACGGUGUAGCAGUGAAAUGCGUAGAGAUCGUAAGGAAGACCAGUGGCGAAGGCGAGUCUCUGGACAGUUGCUGACGCUGAGGCACGAAGGCCAGGGGAGCAAACGGG